UACGAAGGGUGCAAACGUUGCUCGGAAUUAUUGGGCGUAAAGCGCACGUAGGCGGCAUCGCAAGUCGGAUGUGAAAUCCCACGGCUUAACCAUGGAAGUGCAUCCGAAACUGCAGUGCUUGAGUACUUAAGAGGAUCGCGGAAUUCCCGGUGUAGAGGUGAAAUUCGUAGAUAUCGGGAGGAACACCAGUGGCGAAGGCGGCUUCCUGGACCGACACUGACGCUGAGGCGCGAAAGCUAGGGGAGCAAACGGG
rnacentral:rRNA from 1 species